AGACCGAUAGCGAACAAGUAGAGUGAUCGAAAGAUGAAAAGCACUUUGGAAAGAGAGUCAAACAGCACGUGAAAUUGUUGAAAGGGAAGCGCUUGCAGCCAGACUUGCUUACAGUUGCUCAUCCGGGUUUUUACCCGGUGCACUCUUCUGUAGGCAGGCCAGCAUCAGUUUGGGCGGUAGGAUAAAGGUCUCUGUCACGUACCUCCUUUCGGGGAGGCCUUAUAGGGGAGACGACAUACUACCAGCCUGGACUGAGGCCGCGCAUCUGCU
rnacentral:rRNA from 1 species